rnacentral:rRNA from 1 species
CACGUAGGAUCCGAGCGUUAUCCGAAUUUACUGGGCGUAAAGCGCGUGUAGGCGGCCGGGUAAGUUGGACGUGAAAUCUCCUGGCUCAACUAGGAGAGGUCGUUCAAAACUGCCUGGCUAGAGGGCGACAGAGGGAGGUGGAAUUCCCGGUGUAGUGGUGAAAUGCGUAGAUAUCGGGAGGAACACCAGUGGCGAAGGCGGCCUCCUGGGUCGCACCUGACGCUCAGACGCGAAAGCUAGGGGAGCAACGGGAUUAAGAUACCCCCGUA